UACCUAUAAAAAGUAAAGUUUCCAUUAUUACUAAGAAAAGUUUUCAUUGGUAAUGCAAUAUUCGAAUUUGGCAAAUACCAUAAACAAUUGUAUCAGUCUUGAAGGUGAACCUUUAGACACUCUUCUCGACGGUGAAAACUGAAAACUUGUUUGCUUUGCUAAACAAGGAAGAUCCAAAUAGAGAGGUUAUGACAUUCUUUUGUUUUUUUUUUAUAGAUGAGGAUAAAGCCGAAUAACUUUUUUUUUUUGGUAGUGUAAAGCUGAAUAACUUUGACUUAAUAGACUAAUAGUUAAUGUGUAUUGACAAAUUUCAUAUCUUUUUUUUUGGUAAAGUUGAAAAAAAUAAUUUAAAGUAAGUAAUAUUAAACAAUAAAAACC
rnacentral:lncRNA from 1 species